CUUGAAAUACCACCCUUUAAUGUUUGAUGUUCUAACGUGGACCCGUAAUCCGGGUUGCGGACAGUGUCUGGUGGGUAGUUUGACUGGGGCGGUCUCCUCCUAAAGAGUAACGGAGGAGCACGAAGGUUGGCUAAUCCUGGUCGGACAUCAGGAGGUUAGUGCAAUGGCAUAAGCCAGCUUGACUGCGAGCGUGACGGCGCGAGCAGGUGCGAAAGCAGGUCAUAGUGAUCCGGUGGUUCUGAAUGGAAGGGCCAUCGCUCAACGGAUAAAAGGUACUCCGGGGAUAACAGGCUGAUACCGCCCAAGAGUUCAUAUCGACGGCGGUGUUUGGCACCUCGAUGUCGGCUCAUCACAUCCUGGGGCUGAAGUAGGUCCCAAGGGUAUGGCUGUUCGCCAUUUAAAGUGGUACGCGAGCUGGGUUUAGAACGUCGUGAGACAGUUCGGUCCCUAUCUGCCGUGGGCGCUGGAGAACUGAGGGGGGCUGCUCCUAGUACGAGAGGACCGGAGUGGACGCAUCACUGGUGUUCGGGUUGUCAUGCCAAUGGCACUGCCCGGUAGCUAAAUGCGGAAGAGAUAAGUGCUGAAAGCAUCUAAGCACGAAACUUGCCCCGAG
rnacentral:rRNA from 1 species